rnacentral:rRNA from 1 species
CCUACGGGAGGCUGCAGUGGGGAAUCUUGGACAAUGGGGGCAACCCUGAUCCAGCGACGCCGCGUGGGUGAUGAAGGCCUUCGGGUUGUAAAGCCCUUUUGUCGGGGGAGAUGAUGACGGUACCCGACGAAUAAGCACCGGCUAACUCCGUGCCAGCAGCCGCGGUAAGACGGAGGGUGCUAGCGUUGUUCGGAAUUACUGGGCGUAAAGGGCGCGUAGGUGGCUUGUUAAGUCGGGUGUGAAAGCCCGGGGCUCAACCCCGGAACUGCACCCGAGACUGGCAGGCUGGAGACCGGGAGAGGAGAGUGGAAUACCCAGUGUAGAGGUGAAAUUCGUAGAUAUUGGGUGGAACACCAGUGGCGAAAGCGGCUCUCUGGCCCGGUUCUGACACUGAGGCGCGAAAGCGUGGGGAGCAAACAGGCUUAGAUACCCCAGUAGUC